CCUACGGGGGCAGCAGUGGGGAAUAUUGGACAAUGGGCGAAAGCCUGAUCCAGCCAUGCCGCGUGUGUGAAGAAGGCCUUCGGGUUGUAAAGCACUUUCAGUGGGGAAGAAAGCCUUGGGGCUAAUACCCUCGAGGAAGGACAUCACCCACAGAAGAAGCACCGGCUAACUCCGUGCCAGCAGCCGCGGUAAUACGGAGGGUGCGAGCGUUAAUCGGAAUUACUGGGCGUAAAGCGCGCGUAUGCGGUCUGAUAAGCCGGUUGUGAAAGCCCCGGGCUCAACCUGGGAACGGCAUCCGGAACUGUCAGGCUAGAGUGCAGGAGAGGAAGGUAGAAUUCCCGGUGUAGCAGUGAAAUGCGUAGAGAUCGGGAGGAAUACCAGUGGCGAAGGCGGCCUUCUGGACUGACACUGACGCUGAGGUGCGAAAGCGUGGGUAGCAAACAGGAUUAGAUACCCGAGUAGUC
rnacentral:rRNA from 1 species